rnacentral:rRNA from 1 species
AGCGAACGUUAGCGGCGCGCCUAACACAUGCAAGUCGCACGAGAAAGGGAGCAAUCCCCGGUACAGUGGCGCACGGGUGAGUAACACGUAGAUGACCUUCCCUGGAGUGGUGGAUAACCUGCCGAAAGGCGGGCUAAUACAGCAUGGGACCACAUGGUUUUGACCGAGUGGUGAAAGCGGGCCUCUGUUCACAAGCUCGCGCUCUGGGAUGGGUCUGCGUCCCAUCAGCUAGUUGGUGAGGUAAUGGCUCACCAAGGCAUCGACGGGUAGCUGGUCUGAGAGGAUGACCAGCCANACUGGAACUGAGACACGGUCCAGACUCCUACGGGAGGCAGCAGUGGGGAAUCUUGCGCAAUGGGCGAAAGCCUGACGCAGCGACGCCGCGUGGGUGAUGAAGGCCUCGGUUGUAAG